GGGGUUGUGGCUCAGUGGUACAGCAUCUGCUUGGCAUGCAGAAGGUCCCAGGUUUAAUUCCCUCCACCUCCA
rnacentral:tRNA from 1 species